rnacentral:rRNA from 1 species
UAGGUCGGAUUAGCUAGUUGGUGAGGUAAUGGCUCACCAAGGCUACGAUCCGUAACUGGUCUGAGAGGAUGAUCCAGUCACACUGGAACUGAGACACGGUCCAGACUCCUACGGGAGGCAGCAGUGGGGAAUAUUGGACAAUGGGCGAAAGCCUGAUCCAGCCAUGCCGCGUGUGUGAAGAAGGUCUUCGGAUUGUAAAGCACUUUAAGUUGGGAGGAAGGGCAUAACCUAAACGUUAGUGUUAGACGUACCGAC